CCCUAAACCCUAAACCCUGAACCC
rnacentral:siRNA from 1 species